UACGUAGGGUGCGAGCGUUGUCCGGAAUUACUGGGCGUAAAGAGCUCGUAGGUGGUUUGUCGCGUUGUUCGUGAAAACUCACAACUCAAUUGUGGGCGUGCGGGCGAUACGGGCAGACUGGAGUACUGCAGGGGAGACUGGAAUUCCUGGUGUAGCGGUGGAAUGCGCAGAUAUCAGGAGGAACACCGGUGGCGAAGGCGGUUCUCUGGGCAUUACCUGACGCUGAGAAGCGAAAGCGUGGGGAGCAAACAGG
rnacentral:rRNA from 1 species